rnacentral:rRNA from 1 species
CCUACGGGAGGCAGCAGUGGGGAAUAUUGGGCAAUGGGCGCAAGCCUGACCCAGCAACGCCGCGUGAAGGAAGAAGGCCCUCGGGUUGUAAACUUCUUUUAUUCGGGACGAAACAAAUGACGGUACCGAAUGCAUAAGCCACGGCUAACUACGUGCCAGCAGCCGCGGUACUACGUAGGUGGCAAGCGUUAUCCGGAUUUACUGGGUGUAAAGGGCGUGUAGGCGGGAGAGCAAGUCAGACGUGAAAUUCCAGGGCUCAACCCUGGAACUGCGUUUGAAACUGUUCGUCUUGGGUGAUGGAGAGGCAGGCGGAAUUCCGGGUGUAGCGGUGAAAUGCGUAGAGAUACGGAGGAACACCAGUGGCGAAGGCGGCCUGCUGGACAUUAACUGACGCUGAGGCGCGAAAGCGUGGGGAGCAAACAGGAUUAGAUACCCGGGUAGUC